rnacentral:tRNA from 1 species
GUUCGGGUAGCUCAAUUGGCAGAGCACCGUCCUCCAAAGUCGGUGGUUGCAGGUUCAAGUCCUGCCCCGUUCGCCA